rnacentral:rRNA from 1 species
UAGGGAAUCUUCGGCAAUGGACGGAAGUCUGACCGAGCAACGCCGCGUGAGUGAAGAAGGUUUUCGGAUCGUACAGCUCUGUUGUUAGAGAAGAACGUUGGUAGGAGUGGAAAAUCUACCAAGUGACGGUAACUAACCAGAAAGGGACGGCUAACUACGUUCCAGCAGCCGCGGUAAUACGUAGGUCCCGAGCGUUGUCCGGAUUUAUUGGGCGUAACGCGAGCGCAGGCGGUUCUUUAAGUCUGAAGUUAAAGGCAGUGGCUUAACCAUUGUACGCAUUGGAAACUGGAGGACUUGAGUGCAGAAGGGGAGAGUGGAAUUCCAUGUGUAGCGGUGAAAUGCGUAGAUAUAUGGAGGAACACCGGUGGCGAAAGCGGCUCUCUUGUCUGUAACUGACGCUGAGGCUCGAAAGCGUGGGGAGCAAACAGG